GAGAACCAUCACACAGGUGCUGCAUGGCUGUCGUCAGCUCGUGUCGUGAGAUGUUGGGUUAAGUCCCGCAACGAGCGCAACCCUUGUCAUUAGUUGCUACGAAAGGGCACUCUAAUGAGACUGCCGGUGACAAACCGGAGGAAGGUGGGGAUGACGUCAAGUCCUCAUGGCCCUUAUGGGUAGGGCUUCACACGUCAUACAAUGGUACAUACAGAGGGCCGCCAACCCGCGAGGGGGAGCUAAUCCCAGAAAGUGUAUCGUAGUCCGGAUUGGAGUCUGCAACUCGACUCCAUGAAGUUGGAAUCGCUAGUAAUCGCGGAUCAGCAUGUCGCGGUGAAUACGUUCCCAGGUCUUGUACACAC
rnacentral:rRNA from 1 species